UACGGGGGGGCAAGCGUUGUUCGGAAUUACUGGGCGUAAAGGGCCAGUAGGCGGCCAACUAAGUCCGACGUGAAAUCCCAAGGCUUAACCUUGGAACUGCGUCGGAUACUGGAUGGCUUGAAUUCGGGAGAGGGAUGCAGAAUUCCAGGUGUAGCGGUGAAAUGCGCAGAUAUCAGGAGGAACACCGGUGGCGAAGGCGGUUCUCUGGGCAUUACCUGACGCUGAGACGCGAAAGCGUGGGGAGCGAACAGG
rnacentral:rRNA from 1 species